UUUUAUUUUUAGUUAAUAACUCAAGUGUAUUAUUUUCGUUAUUUUAUUUUGUUAAUAAAAAAAACUUAAGGAAAGUUAAAGAAGAGAACAAACCUUAUUGAUUUAUAAAGCUAUUAUUUAUGUGUUUUUUGUGUGUGUUCCUGCGCUUGGCUGCCAAAAAGCGUGAAAAUAGUGAGAAUAAUUUCAAAUCAUUGUCUGCUGGCUACUGCCUUCGAAAUUCAGGUAUUCGGAAUUGGAAACAAACAAACAAACAAACACUUUUAUUCUCACUUCUGGCUAACUUUGAAUCAUAGUCUGUUUUUUAAUACUUUGAAAUUGAAGUCAGAUGUCCCUUUUUCUCGGAACUUAAAAUAAGGUAUAAAUUUCCUUCCAACCAAAAGAUGGCGGUACUGCAGUUUGUACUCAAGUUGUCAACAGCUCAAAGAAGAAGUCCUUUUUUGCCACCUCCUCGUUCUAGACUUUUCCAUCGGCAUCACUGUACACGUUCCUCUAUUCUCUCCGUGGCGCUGCAGUCGGUUAUCCAUAUAACGGGGAAUUUUAAUUUUAUUUAAAGUUUCUUUUUUUAAGUACUUCCCCUUUUUUGGAAUAGAUAAUUCGUUUUUUAUUUUGUAUUAAAUUUGACCUUGUAGCCAAUAUAAGGUGUUUUACAGCUGUCAGGUGUUUUAUAGUGUCAAAUAUUAAUGAUUAACGGCUGUCACGCAUGGUGGCGUCUAGAAAAGUAAGUCUUUUUAUUUUUCAUAAUGGUACCAAAAACUUUUACAUUUUAAUUAAAUGUUUAACACGUAUCAAAUCAGUACAUUUUAUUUGAAGUUGAUGUCAAAAAUUAUAUACAUUAUUCGAUGUUUUCUAUCAAAUGAGGUCGUGUGUGCUAUUAUAGACUAUAAAGCAUGGCAGUUUAUUACCUACAACGACUUGAAAUUAGUCUCGUUUUGCCUGUUGUGUGGUGUGACUGUGUUUGUCUUUGUGUUUUUACACCAUUCGUGUUAUUAUAUUUCUUAUAUGUGCAAUGGUGUGGGCACCUCCUCUCUACAUCCAGCCCAGUGACGCCAUCACUGGUUGUUGGUGGAGGUUUGCGGAGGGAGAGCAGAGCAGUGGUAUUACCCAUUCCACCCCCUGCUGCAACAUAGCUCUGUGGUGGAAGAAAUCCCUGCUACAAACGAUGCUGUGCUAUAUGAAGGCCACCAGAUGGUGCUGAACAGCAUCUAAAGGCAGUAUCAACAACAUUCAUAUAAUACAUUUCAUUAUUUGUAUAUGACCUAUUAUUUUAUAUUGACAAUAAAUUUAUAUUCUCUAAAUUGA